CGAGUGAGGUAUAAAAAAAUAGUCCCGCAUGUCUGACGCCCAUCUUGUUCAAGUCUGCUUGAUGCUUUUCCGUUUUUUCUGAACAUCAGAGACGAAGACCAGUGUGCAGAGUUGGACUUCAAGUUCAAGACCAAUCUCUCACAUCCACAUUGUCAAGGUUGAGAAAGAUGCUUCUAAUAGUGGAAUUUGUGGCUGAUGGACACAUACGUAAUGUCGAAAGUUUUGAUGCUUACAUUGUGGGAGAUCUAUACUGAAAAGAUCGUGAUCAUCACCCCCUGAGGAACCUGGUAUCAUUUUGUCAUAUGUUAAUUGGAUCUUGAAGGGUGUCCGGGACUUUACCUUGAUUAAUUCUAGCUACAUGUAAUCUCUUACCUACGUAUAUACCAGGAAAGGACAGGUGAAGAGAGUUUAUGAUGAAAACAAGGCUUUCCCUUGUGUUUAAUUGUCAUCGUUCUUUUCAAAAGAUUCAUAUCAAUGCUUUUUGCAUCGUUCUUUUCGAAAGCGAAAUUUUAUUUACAAAAACAAACAUUGUCUAAUUGCUGCGCGCAGCAGGGACUCUCCAUUUCCCUCAGGGUGUGUUUGUUUAGACGGACUGGAUAAGGGGGAUUGUAAUCCAUCGGACUGUUAGUCCUGGGAUACAUUGUCCUGGGACUAUUUGGUUGGA